rnacentral:rRNA from 1 species
CUACGGGAGGCAGCAGUAAGGAAUAUUGGACAAUGGGUGCAAGCCUGAUCCAGCCAUGCCGCGUGCAGGAAGACGGCCUUCUGGGUUGUAAACUGCUUUUUUCAGGGGAUAAAAGGCCCGUGCGCGGGACAUUGAAAGUACCUGGAGAAUAAGCCACGGCUAACUAUGUGCCAGCAGCCGCGGUAAUACGUAGGUGGCGAGCGUUGUCCGGAUUUAUUGGGUUUAAAGGGUGCGUAGGCGGCUAUUUAAGUCAGUGGUGAAAUACGGCAGCUUAACUGUCGAGGUGCCAUUGAUACUGGGUAGCUAGAGUACUGAUGAGGUAGGCGGAAUGGACGGUGUAGCGGUGAAAUGCUUAGAGAUCGUCCAGAACACCGAUAGCGAAGGCAGCUUACUAAGGAGUAACUGACGCUGAGGCACGAAAGUGUGGGGAUCAAACAGGAUUAGAAACCCGGGUAGUCC